GACGAACGCUGGCGGCGUGCUUAACACAUGCAAGUCGAGGGGUAACGAGAGGGAAGCUUGCUUUCCUUGUCGACGACCGGCGCACGGGUGAGUAACGCGUAUCCAACCUGCCCCCAACUAGGGAAUAACCUUGCGAAAGUAAGACUAAUACCCUAUAAUUUCCUCAGAUGACAUCUGACGAGGAAUAAAGAUUUAUCGGUUGUGGAUGGGGAUGCGUCUGAUUAGCUUGUUGGCGGGGUAACGGCCCACCAAGGCAACGAUCAGUAGGGGUUCUGAGAGGAAGGUCCCCCACAUUGGAACUGAGACACGGUCCAAACUCCUACGGGAGGCAGCAGUGAGGAAUAUUGGUCAAUGGGCGGAAGCCUGAACCAGCCAAGUAGCGCGCAGGAUGACGGCCCUAUGGGUUGUAAACUGCUUUUAUACAGGAAUAAAGUUAGCCACGUGUGGUUAUUUGUAGGUACUGUAUGAAUAAGGACCGGCUAAUUCCGUGCCAGCAGCCGCAGUAA
rnacentral:rRNA from 1 species